UUUUUUUUUUUUUUUUUUUUGACUUUUUGCCAUCUCUUGGGCUGCUUCCACUGCAUAUGGAGGUUCCCAGGAUAGGGGUCCUAUCAGAGCUGCAGCCACCAGCCUACGCCAGAGCCACAGCAACUCGGAAUCCGAGCUGCGUCUGUGACCUACACCACAGCUGACGGCAACGCUGGAUCGUUAACCCACUGAGCAAAAGCAGGGAUCAAACCCGCAACGUCAUGGUUCCUAGUCGGAUUCGUUAACCACUGGCCACAACAGGAACUCUGCUUCCUUUUCUUUUUGCUCAAUUUUUCCACUUCUCCCCUCAAACCCUCUCUUCUCUCGCAGGUGACUCAACGCAGGGAGAAGAAACCAGGCUGGGCGGCCACACCUGUUGGACAUCUUCCUCCCCCUCUAUCCAAGGUCCUGGCUGACAAUCUAGAUGUCCCUACAUUUCCUGAGGGACCUUGUCACCAAGUUUCUUUGGGGGGGAGUGAGGGGAAGUGGGGGAUGCUAGUUUGCCUUCUACCAAUAAUUAGGAACUUCUUCCUCUUUGAUUUCAUUAGAAGGCAAUUCCAGUAUAAACAGCCCUUUAUUGACCUUUACCAUUUAUUCAAUCCCAGGCCAUCCUUUCCCUGAGAUUUAAAAGGAAAAGCCUUGCAAGAGCCCCUCAGGCCCCCGCCUUCACUGAUGGUGGGAAGGGAACUUGGUGCUGCCACGGCAGAAACCAGUGUGGGGGUUCCUUGAAAAACUCAAAGUAGGCGUUUCCACGGUGACUCAGCAGAAACAACAUGGGAUGGAGUCCAUGAGGACCCACCUUGGAUCCCUGGGCUCACUCAGUGGGUGAAGGAUCCGGGGUUGCCAUGAGCUGUAGUGUAGGUUGCAGAUGGGACUCCGAUCUGACAUUACUGGGGCUGUGGCACAUAACAGCAGCUGCAGCUAGAAUUUGACCCCUAGCCUGGGAGCUUCUAUAGCCUGCAGGUAUGGCCCUAAGGAAAGAAAAAAAACCCAACCACCACCACCACACUCAACAGAACUGCAACUAGAACUACCACAUGAUCCACCAAUCCCACCUCCUGGACAUCUAUCCGGAGAAAACUAACUGCAAAAGAUACCUGUGCCCCUAUGUUCACAGCAGCACUACUCACAAUAGACAAGACAUGGAAACAGCCUAAGUGCCCAUCGACAGAGCAUGAGUAAAAAAAGAUGUGCUCCAUACCCACAUGGAAUAUUACUCAACCCCAUAAAAAGAACAAAAUGAUGCCAUUUUCAGUGACAUGGAUGGACAUACUGGCGAUCAUACUAAGAGAUGUAGGUCAGAAAGGAGAGAAACACCAGCUGAGUUCACUGCUAUGUGGAAACUCGUAUGACACCAAUGAACUUCUUUGGAAAAGAGAAAUAGACUCAUAGAAAAUGUAUGGUUACCAAAGGGGAAUGGCUGGGGAGAGGGAUGUAUGAGUUGUUUCGGGUCAACAUGGUACACACUAGUACAGAUAAACUCAGUAAGCAUCAAGGCUCUCCUGUACAGCCUAAAAAACUAUAUUCAAUAUCCUGUAAUAUCCCAUACGAGGCAAGAAUAUCAAGAUGAUACAUGUAUAACUCAUACCCUUUGCCAUACACCUGAAAAAUAACCUUGUAAAUCCACUAUACUCCUACAUAAUAUAAAAGUUUUUUUAAGAAAAGGAUAGAGGAGUUCCCACUGUGGGGCACAGGAUUGGCAGUGUCUCUGGAGCCCUGGGACGUGGGUUUGACACCCAGCCGGCACAGUGGGUUAAGGAUCCAGCAUUGUAAUAUAGGUUUCCACUGUGGCUCAGAUCUGAUCCCUGGCCCAGGAACUCCAUAAGCCUCGGGCACCAAAAUACAAUUUGACAAAUUCAAAGAAUUCUAAAAUUUAAAAAAAUAGGCUUUUUAAUUCACAAAAUUACAAUUUAAAAGUCAUUUUACCAAGCAGACAGCUUCUGAACUUGAACUAGACCUUCUUCACUGCUAUCCUUACAGCUUUGUGAACCCUCCCAGCUAUGGCAUCACUGUGCAGGGCUGGCCUGUUCUCUAAGGAGGGAAGACAGCUGUGUGUUCUGCUUUCUACUUAAUCUCUGACCAAUCCCAACCACCCUGGCCCUGUGUCCUCAUUGCCUGCAACAGAAGGACCAUGCAGGGCAGAGAACAGGGCUGACACAGUCCCCACAGGAAAUGCAGCAAUUGGCCCCAAAUCAAGCUUUAAGGCCAGAGCCCACUGGCCCAGAGAAAACAUCCUUGGUGACACAGCUGUGGGGAGAGGAGAGUUGACAAGGGGCUGCCAAGAGAGG
rnacentral:lncRNA from 1 species